rnacentral:rRNA from 1 species
CGGCGCGCCUAACACAUGCAAGUCGAACGGGUGAGAGGAGCUUGCUCCUCAAGCUAGUGGCGGACGGGUGAGUAACACGUGAGCAACCUGCCUUUCAGAGGGGGACAACAGUUGGAAACGACUGCUAAUACCGCAUAACAUCAUCGGGUGGCAUCGCUUGAUGAUCAAAGAUUUAUCGCUGAAAGAUGGGCUCGCGUCUGAUUAGGAUAGUUGGUGAGGUAACGGCCCACCAAGUCGACGAUCAGUAGCCGGACUGAGAGGUUGAACGGCCACAUUGGGACUGAGACACGGCCCAGACUCCUACGGGAGGCAGCAGUGGGGGAUAUUGGACAAAGUGGGGGAAACCCUGAUCCAGCGACGCCGCGUGAGGGAAGAAGGUUUUCGGAUUGUAAACCUCUGUUGACAGGGAAGAAAAUGACGGUACCUGUUUAGAAAGCCACGGCUAACUACGUGCCAGCCGCCGC